GUGCUCACUUUGGCAGCACAUAUACUAAAAUGGGAACGAUACAGAGAAGAUUAGCAUGACCCCUGCACAAGGAUGACACAUAAAUUCAUGAAGCAUUCCAUAUUUAA
rnacentral:snRNA from 1 species